AUGUUAUUGCCUCCACCACCUGCAUAUUAGUCAACACCACACAGGAAACCAGCCGGUCGCCCAGAGCUGGAUGGGUCCAUUGUAACGCAAGCUCUGCCUGUCACUUCAUCUUGGGACCCAGUUGAAGCCAUGAGGACAUCCAUUACCCGCAUGGCACAGCGGAUUGACACAUUUGAGGAAAAGAUGGAUGAGCUACUCAUGCUCUUAAGGAGUCCAGCCCAGUCCCCUCCCUCUGCUCCAGUCGAUGACGUGUUGCUGUCGCCCUGCUCAACAGUCACUGAGCUGCAGGAGUGAGACAGGAGUCUCAGUCAACAGGAGAGGAGGAACAAAAUGCGGCCUCCCAGAAAAACUUCCCCGCGCUGACUGCAGCAGACGUGGAGGACCCCACAGUGCUCCCCCCUCACAAUAUCCAACAGCCCAGUGUCAAAGGUGGACUCAUUCAAGUUUCUGGGCUCCAUCAUUUCCCAGGACCUGAAGUGGGAGUCUAACAUCCUUAAAAAGGCUCAGCAGAGGAUGUACUUCCUACGGCAACUGCGGAAGCAUGGCCUACCACAAGAGCUAUUGGCCAUCUUCUACACUGCUGUCCUCCUCCUGCCUCAUCCCCUCUGGCAGGCCCUACAGAUCCCUGCACACAAAAACAACCAGACACAAGAACAGCUUCUUUCCACUGCCAUCACUCUCCUGAACUGCUGAUAAGAGGGGUCAUCCCCUCUUUGGCCAUUCACCUACACAUUACAUACUUUAUCAUUCCAAUAUGCAUUUUGCACACUACAUUUGCACUAUUACU